GAGUAUGACUGGGAAACGAGAACUGCUAAUUACUCGCCUCUAUGGUUCAAUUCCAUAGCAAACUCG
rnacentral:tRNA from 1 species